CCUACGGGAGGCAGCAGUGGGGAAUAUUUGUCAAUGGGCGGAAGCCUGAACCAGCCAAGUCGCGUGCAGGAUGACGGCCCUACGGGUUGUAACUUGCUUUUAUACGGGAAUAACGCGCCUUCCGUGUAGGGCUUUGCAUGUACCGUAUGAAUAAGGACCGGCUAAUUCCGUGCCAGCAGCCGCGGUAAUACGGAAGGUCCGGUCGUUAUCCGGAUUUCUUGGGUUUAAAGGGAGCGUAGGCCGCAUGUCAAGCGUGUCGUGAAAUGUCCGGGCUCAACCCGGGCCUUGCAGCGCGAACUGGCGUGCUUGAGUCCGCGGAAAGCAGGCGGAAUUCGUCGUGUAGCGGUGAAAUGCUUAGAUAUGACGAAGAACCCCGAUUGCGAAGGCAGCUUGCUGCAGCGGAACUGACGCUGAUGCUCGAAAGCGCGGGUAUCGAACAGGAUUAGAUACCCUGGUAGUC
rnacentral:rRNA from 1 species